rnacentral:lncRNA from 1 species
CGAAAGGUUAUUUAUGUUGCGUUUCUCCCGACCUUACCCUGGCCUAGAUGACACCCGUGAGUGGGGAGGGAAUGAUCAUUAUUACAGGUACAGGUACUUGUUGGUGACUUGUUGGUGACUUAUUGGUGACUUGUGAUCCUGUUGGUGACUAUUGGUUCAGAAUUUUGGGGUCUCAGAUGACUUUGGGUUUCAGAUGAAUUUGUGGUUCCGAGUUCAAGCCGAAGCUUUGAUCCUGUGUUCUGAGAGACACGGCCAACCAGUCGUGUCUGCAUCAUUUGCAUCAUAGCAUGUUUAUUUUUCAAAAGAAACGCAAUAAAAAAA